rnacentral:rRNA from 1 species
UACAGAGGGUGCAAGCGUUAAUCGGAAUUACUGGGCGUAAAGCGUGCGUAGACGGUUACAUAAGUCGGGUGUGAAAGCCCCGGGCUCAACCUGGGAAUUGCAUUCGAGACUGCGUAGCUAGGGUGCGGAAGAGGGAAGCGGAAUUUCCGGUGUAGCGGUGAAAUGCGUAGAUAUCGUAAGGAAGACCAGUGGCGAAGGCGGGUCUCUGGACAGUUCCUGACGCUGAGGCACGAAGGUCAGGGGAGCAAACGGGG